rnacentral:rRNA from 1 species
GAUGAACGCUAGCGGCAGGCUUAACACAUGCAAGUCGAGGGGCAGCGCAGGUAGCGCUACCUGGUGGCGACCGGCGCACGGGUGAGUAACGCGUAUGCAACUUACCUAUCAGAGGGGGAUAACCCGACGAAAGUCGAACUAAUCACACAUUAAUCAGGGGCAUCGCUUGGGAUUAUUAGCUAAAGAGGCAUCACAGAUAGAUAGGCAUGCGUUCCAUUAGGCAGUUGGAGGGGUAACGGCCCACCAAGCUGACGAUGGAUAGGGGUUCUGAGAGGAAGGUCCCCCACACUGGUACUGAGACACGGACCAGACUCCUACGGGAGGCAGCAGUGAGGAAUAUUGGUCAAUGGCCGAGAGCCUGAACCAGCCAAGUCGCGUGAAGGAUGAAGGUCCUAUGGAUCGUAAACCUCUUUUAUACGGGAAUAAAGUGCGGGACGUGUCGCGUUUUGAAUGUACUGUAUGAAUAAGGACCGGCUAACUCCGUG